rnacentral:rRNA from 1 species
AUUGAACGCUGGCGGCAGGCCUAACACAUGCAAGUCGAGCGGAUGAAGGGAGCUUGCUCCUGGAUUCAGCGGCGGACGGGUGAGUAAUGCCUAGGAAUCUGCCUGGUAGCGGGGGAUAACGUCCGGAAACGGGCGCUAAUACCGCAUACGUCCUGAGGGAGAAAGUGGGGGAUCUUCGGACCUCACGCUAUCAGAUGAGCCUAGGUCGGAUUAGCUAGUUGGGGGGGUAAAGGCCUACCAAGGCGACGAUCCGUAACUGGUAUGAGAGGAUGAUCAGUCACACUGGAACUGAGACACGGUCCAGACUCCGACGGGAGGCAGCAGUGGGGAAUAUUGGACAAUGGGCGAAAGACUGAUCCAGCCAUACCGCGUGGGUGAAGAAGGUCUUCGGGUUGUAAAGCACUUUUGGUUGGGGAGAAGAGCAGUAAGUUAAUACCUUGCUGUUUUGACGUUACCAACAGAAUAAGCACCGGCUAACUUCGUG